rnacentral:sRNA from 1 species
AAUUAACAUUGAUUAUCAGCUGUUUUGUACGGAAAACGUGGAAUCUAAAUAAUAUACCGUUUCCCUGCUCUGCUGCUAUUGGCAAUACAUUUUUGUCAUGUCAUCUGCAACAGACGAUCAUACAUAUGUGAGGGAUUAUCGAUAUAGCUAGGUAGCAAUAGCAGUGGAAGCCCGGAUUUGCAAGCCAAAUGAGGGAAAGACAGAAUUCUGAAAAGAAGCAUGUUUUUCAUUUCCACACAUGCAUGUGUAUCACUAUGGACAUCUAAUGUAUGUAUUAAUAUGCGUAUGGUUGUUGUUUAUAAUUGCUAUUGUAUUUAAAAAAGUAAAAGGCAAUUUAUAAUAUAAUUAACUACUAAUAUUUUGUAAUAAAGAGUUAAAUAUAUAUAUGAUGCAUUCAUCAAAAAUAUAAUUUUUCAGCUUCAAACAUUAUCAUAAGCACUACUAAUCUUAUAUCUACAUAUUUAGCAUAGACUUGUUCCUUUUUUCAAUUUUUAUUCGUGAUUUUUAUUAAUUAAAAAAUUGAUCCCAAGAUAUUUGAGACCAUGUAAAAUAAAGAAAGACAACUCUUAAACAGGAUCUUUCAUACCAAGAUUUUUGCAAUAAUUAAGUAUUUCCUUUAAUUUUUCAAUUUCAUUCAAUUUCUUUUCUUCAUCCAAUUAACCAACGAAUAUUGUUUAUAUUUUCAGGCUUUUGUGGGAUUUUGUCCAGCAGUUUGCCUUAAAAGCAUUUUUUUAUAUUUUAGUUUCAUAUUUAUGUGGAUUCCAAUAAAAAUCAUACAAACUUC